rnacentral:misc_RNA from 1 species
AGUCGUAACAAGGUUUCCGUAGGUGAACCUGCGGAAGGAUCAUUGUCGAAACCUGCCCAGCAGAGCGACCCGCGAACUUGUGAAUUGCGCUCGAGGGUGUCUAGCGCGGGGAGCCUUGGUUGCUCGCGUUUGUCCCCUCCUGCUGCUUGGGGAGAGCGAGAUCUCGCUCGCUCCUUGCGGCCCAACAACGAACCCCCGGCGCGAGUCGCGCCAAGGAAAAUUUAACGAGAGAGAGCGCUCCCCGCCGCCCCGGACACGGAUCGGCGCGCGGGGUGCGUCCCCUUCUUUCAACUAGAAAAAACAAAACGACUCUCGGCAACGGAUAUCUCGGCUCUCGCAUCGAUGAAAAAUGCGAUACUUGGUGUGAAUUGCAGAAUCCCGUGAACCAUCGAGUCUUUGAACGCAAGUUGCGCCCCAAGCCUUUAGGCCGAGGGCACGUCUGCCUGGGUGUCACGCAUCGUUGCCCCCCCCACCCCCCCUCUUUGGGUACGGUUGGACGGGCGGAGAAUGGCCUCCCGUGCGCUGCCGCUCGCGGUUGGCCCAAAUUUGAGUCUUUCGGCGACCUUGCCGCGACGAUCGGUGGUGGAACAUGCCUCUCGAGCUCCCGUCGCGCGCUCGCGUCCCCGUGCCACGGGCUCGCGGACCCUUUUAAGCGCCUUCUCUUCGAGACGGUGCUCGCUUU